rnacentral:lncRNA from 1 species
AUUACAGUAGGCUACAGUUAUACACAUUACAGUAGGCUAAAGUUAUACACAUUACAGUAGGCUACAGUCAUACACAUUACAGUAGGCUAAAGUUAUACACAUUACAAUAGGCUAAAGUUAUACACAUUACAGUAGGCUACAGUCAUACACAUUACAGUAGGCUAAAGUUAUACACAUUACAAUAGGCUAAAGUUAUACACAUUACAAUAGGCUAAAGUUAUACACAUUACAGUAGGCUAAAGUUAUACACAUUACAGUAGGCUAAAGUUAUACACGUUACAGUAGGCUAAAGUUAUACACAUUACAAUAGGCUAAAGUUAAGCACAUUACAGUAGGCUAAAGUUAUACACAUUACAGUAAGCUAAAGUGAUACACAUUACAAUAGGCUAAAGUUAUACACAUUACAGUAGGCCACAGUUAUACACAUUACAGUAGGCUAAAGUUAUACACAUUACAGUAGGCUAAAGUGAUACACAUUACAGUAGGCUAAAGUGAUGCACAUUACAGUAGGCUAAAGUUAUACACAUUACAGUAGGCUAAAGUUAUACACAUUACAGUAGGCUAAAGUGAUACACAUUACAGUAGGCUAAAGUGAUGCACAUUACAGUAGGCUAAAGUUAUACACAUUACAGUAGGCUACAGUUAUACACAUUACAGUAGGCUAAAGUUAUACACAUUACAAUAGGCUAAAGUUAAGCACAUUACAGUAGGCUAAAGUUAUACACAUUACAGUAAGCUAAAGUGAUACACAUUACAAUAGGCUAAAGUUAUACACAUUACAGUAGUCCACAGUUAUACACAUUACAGUAG